CAUUCUGAAGCUCCAUCUGACGUUGUUACGCCUGCCUGUUUGCCCCCUGCUGGCUCUGCUACACAGUGCAGACGUUAGUUGGGCAACAGGUGUAUUCAAUCCCCAAUCAGUAUUAGUAUAAAGAUCAGUGCACCUCCAAGUGAACUCUCUCUCUCAUUUCUCCCAUUCUUUUAUUUAAUACAUAUUUUGCUCAUAUAUAUAUCAUUUUCUCAUUGUUAUUGUUAGUGUCAGAUAUUGUUUGUUUAUUUAAUAACCACACGCGCGUGUUAUUUUUCCCCUAGACGUCAGUUUAUUUUGUUUGUUUAAUUGUUUGACAAUAAAUUUGGUUUAUUGUUAAAGCAUUUGUUGUUGGCCUCUUUUAUGUUGCGGUUUGGGAGCCAGCCGUAACAUAAAAAUGGGAGUCUCGUCCGGAUUUUGAACAUUUGUUUCUGAGGGACUCUUUUUUUUAGUCUCUUCAGGAUUUCUUGUGAGAAUUGGCUUUCACUCCGGUUAGACAGUGUGUUUCAGCUGGGUUGCGCGUGAGCGGCCCUUCCAUCGGAACACUAUUUGUUGUUUUGUUGAUUUUGUUUUGCAUUUUAUUUUGGAGUUUUCGGAAGGAAAUCCUGGGUGGGGGUACGCUUCUCGCGCAGCUGAUCUCAUUUGGAGAACGGUUGUUACGAGGUUCAGCGUUUCAAGUCGCCUCGAGCCCGGCAGUCCUUUGAAGACUAGCUAGGUUAGUUAGUUUCAACAGGCAGGCAUAUCGGAGAUGUAAAAGCCAAUGGAAAUCCUGGGCCCAGGAAGCAGGAAUCCGGAACCAAGUGGAGUGGGAUCAUCGGUGGAAAUUUUGAUGUUUUUUUAGUAUUCCUUAGAGGAAUACU